rnacentral:rRNA from 1 species
UAGUGAGUUUGACCUGGCUCAGAACGAACGCUGGCGGCAGGCUUAACACAUGCAAGUCGAACGGUUGUAGCAAUACAGCAGUGGCAGACGGGUGAGUAACACGUGGGAACCUUCCUAGGGGUACGGAACAACUCAGGGGAAACUUGAGCUAAUACCGUAUACGUCCGUGAGGAGAAAGAUUUAAUCGCCCUUAAGACGGGCCCGCGUCGGAUUAGCUAGUUGGUGAGGUAAAGGCUCACCAAGGCGACGAUCCGUAGCU